AUCGCUUCUCGGCCUUUUGGCUAAGAUCAAAGUGUAGUAUCUGUUCUUAUCAGCUUAAUAUCUGAUACGUCCCCUACAUGGGGACCAGAAUAUUAAACUGAUUUUGGACUUUGGCGGGGUUUUUGGAGCUUGCCAGCCCUGCCGCGGGUUGGCCUGGCAUUGCACUACAGCCAGGAUCGGCCCACUUUUG
rnacentral:snRNA from 1 species